AAGUCGAGCGAACAGACGAGGAGCUUGCUCCUCUGACGUUAGCGGCGGACGGGUGAGUAACACGUGGAUAACCUACCUAUAAGACUGGGAUAACUUCGGGAAACCGGAGCUAAUACCGGAUAAUAUAUUGAACCGCAUGGUUCAAUAGUGAAAGACGGUUUUGCUGUCACUUAUAGAUGGAUCCGCGCCGCAUUAGCUAGUUGGUAAGGUAACGGCUUACCAAGGCAACGAUGCGUAGCCGACCUGAGAGGGUGAUCGGCCACACUGGAACUGAGACACGGUCCAGACUCCUACGGGAGGCAGCAGUAGGGAAUCUUCCGCAAUGGGCGAAAGCCUGACGGAGCAACGCCGCGUGAGUGAUGAAGGUCUUCGGAUCGUAAAACUCUGUUAUUAGGGAAGAACAAAUGUGUAAGUAACUAUGCACGUCUUGACGGUACCUAAUCAGAAAGCCACGGCUAACUACGUGCCAGCAGCCGCGGUAAUACGUAGGUGGCAAGCGUUAUCCGGAAUUAUUGGGCGUAAAGCGCGCGUAGGCGGUUUUUUAAGUCUGAUGUGAAAGCCCACGGCUCAACCGUGGAGGGUCAUUGGAAACUGGAAAACUUGAGUGCAGAAGAGGAAAGUGGAAUUCCAUGUGUAGCGGUGAAAUGCGCAGAGAUAUGGAGGAACACCAGUGGCGAAAGCGACUUUCUGGUCUGUAACUGACGCUGAUGUGCGAAGCGUGGAGAUCAACAGGAUAGAUGACCCUGCUAGUCACGCGUAACGAUGA
rnacentral:rRNA from 1 species